rnacentral:rRNA from 1 species
CCUACUGGUGGCAUCAGUGGGGGAUAUUGCACAAUGGGGGGAACCCUGAUGCCGCGACGCCGCGUGGGUGCAGGAGCGUUUCGGCGCGUACAGCCCUAUCGGCAGGGACGAGGGAGGACGGUACCUGACUAAGAAGCCCCGGCUAACUACGUGCCAGCAGCCGCGGUAAUACGUAGGGGGCAAGCGUUAGCCAGAUUUACGGGGUGUAAAGGGGGCGCAGACGGCAGCGCAAGCCAGGAGUGAAAGCCCGGGGCCCAACCCCGGGACUGCGCUUGGAACUGCGCUGCUGGAGUGCAGGAGGGGCAGGCGGAAUUCCUGGUGGAGCGGGGAAAUGCGUAGAUAUCAGGAGGAACACCGGGGGCGAAGGCGGCCUGCUGGACUGCGACUGACGUGGAGGCCCGAAAGCGUGGGGAGCAAACAGGAUUAGAUACCCCGGGAGUC